UUGGAGGGCAAGUCUGGUGCCAGCAGCCGCGGUAAUUCCAGCUCCAAUAGCGUAUAUUAAAGUUGUUGCAGUUAAAAAGCUCGUAGUUGAAUUUCGGGGUCAGUAGGUUGGUCAUGCCACCGGUAUGUACUGGUCUCACUGAUUCCUCCUUCCUGAUGAACUGUAAUGCCAUUAAUUUGGUGUUGCAGGGAAUCUGGACUGUUACUUUGAAAAAAUUAGAGUGUUUAAAGCAGGCUAACGCCUGAAUACAUUAGCAUGGAAUAAUGAAAUAGGACGUUCGAUCCUAUUUUGUUGGUUUCUAGGAUUGACGUAAUGAUUAAUAGGGAUAGUUGGGGGCAUUAGUAUUCAAUUGUCAGAGGUGAAAUUCUUGGAUUUAUUGAAGACUAACUACUGCGAAAGCAUUUGCCAAGGAUGUUUUCAUUAAUCAAGAACGAAAGUUAGGGGAUCGAAGACGAUCAGAUACCGUCGUAGUCUUAACCAUAAACUAUGCCGACUAGGGAUCGGAUGAUGUUAAUUUUUUAAUGACUCAUUCGGCGCCUUACGGGAAACCAAAGUGUUUGGGUUC
rnacentral:rRNA from 2 species